rnacentral:tRNA from 1 species
GGGGCCAUAGCUCAGCUGGGAGAGCGUUUGUCUGGCAGACAAGAGGUCAGGGGUUCGAGCCCCCUUGGCUCCACCA